CAGCCCGGCCCCCGACCAUUACGUCAGGGAGGCGGCGGUUGCGUCGUCGUCUGGGCGGAGACGGUAAAGCCGGGCCAAGACCAAAUGUCUGACCGUCCAUUGUGGCGAUUUAUGAAGAGAAGGCAUCCAGACAAUUCUGAUGAGGCUAGUGAUUUUUUUUAAAAUCACAAUCUUCUGAUAAAUUUCACUGCACAUGCAAAAAUGAACCAAAAAAAGGUCCGUUUUUACAAUGAAAGCUACUUAUCAAUGGGCUUUACAUGGACUGGUGAUCCAAGUUGUCCUAUUCCUUUGUGCCUUGUCUGUGGCAAACAACUUUCAAAUUCAGCAAUGGCUCCAGCAAAAUUGAAAAGACACUUCACGACAAAUCAGUCAUAUGAAAAAUAAAAGUGCUGAUUAUUUUAAAAGGCUAUUGGAAUCUCAAAAUAAACAGAGUACAGCUUUUGUGAGUAAAGUCAGUGUCAGUAAGAAAGCUCAAGAAACAAGUUAUUUGGUAGCAGAAAUUAUUGCACAGAAAAGGAAAAGUCACACAGUUGGUGAGAACCUAAUAAUGCCAGCAUGUAAAAUUAUAGUGGGUAAAAUGCUGGGACAAGAUGCAGUACGGGAAAUUGAAAAUGUCCCACUUUCAAACAGUACAAUAAGUCAAUGUAUUGAUGACAUGUCACACGACGCUGAAGAGGUUUUGUGUGAUAAACUGAAAAAUAGCAGUUUUUCUAUCCAGGUUGGUGAGUCAACAGAUCUUGCCAACAAAUGUCACAUUGUAGCUUUUGUAAGAUUUAUCAACGAGGGUGAAAUUCAAGAAAACUUUUUCUGUUGCAAAGAACUACCUGAGACAAGCAAAGGAAUAGAUAUAUUUAAUAUUUUGUCCACAUACCUGGAAACAAGAGGUCUCUCCUGGAAGAACUGUGUUGGCAUCUGUACUGAUGGUGCCCCAUCGAUGGUUGGCUCCAUAACAGGCUUUGUUUCUCUUGUAAAACUGGAAAAUGCUGAUGUUGUCUCAACGCACUGCUUUCUUCACAGAGAGGUGCUGAUUUCAAAAUCUCUUGGAGCUGAAUUGAAAAAGGUUUUUGAUGAUGCUACAAAAAUGGUCAACUUUAUUAAACAAAGACCAGUUCACUCCAGAAUGUUAAAAAAGUUGUGUGAAAACCUGGACAAAGACAAAGUUCUAAAUAGGGUGUUUGAGCUGAAAGAUGAAUUGCAGGAAUACUUUCAAGGAGCCAGAUUUUGCCAAGUGCUUUGAAGAUGAGAAAUGGUUGCAGAGGCUAGCCUACAUGGCAGACAUGUUUCAUCACUUGAAUCAGCUGAACAAGUCACUGCAAGGCCCUGGGGAAAAUGUAUUGACUUCAAGUGACAAGAUUCUUGGAUUUAAAAGAAGACUGAAUCUUUGGAAAAAUCAUGUUGCAAAAGGAAAUCUUGAAAUGUUUCAACUACUGCUGGGGUUUAAGAGUGAAGAAGGGUAUCAGCAAAUUUCAAGUCUUAUUCAAACCCAUCUGGAAGAACUGCGGAUCAAAAUCGAACAUUAUUUUCCCUCCCUUUCAACACAACUGUAUGAUUGGGUGAGAGAUCCAUACUCUGAAUCUUCUGCUCAUCCUGAGAACUUGACUUUAAGAGAAGAGGAAGAACUUUGUGAGCUGCAGUCUGAUCGUACACUCAAGAUGAGAUUUACUGACCUAUCCCUGGACAAGUUCUGGAUUUCUGUGAAGGAAGAGUAUCCUGCCAUUCAUAGGAAAGCAAUAAAUAUAUUGCUGCAGUUUUCAACCUCUUACAUGUGUGAGCAAGCUUUUUCUUAUUUAACAAGUAUCAAGAGCAAAGACAGAAAUCGGCUCCUUUCAGUUGAAGAUGAAAUCCGUGUGUGUUUAUCUAAAGUUCGACCCCGAAUAAAGUAUUUGUGUACAAAAAGUUAGGACAGGUUUCACAUUAGAGAAGCAAAUUUCAUUAUCUAAAUUGUCUUCAAAAAUAACAUUGCCUUGACCCAUAUAUUUGUUUAUAUGACAUAUUGCCUUGAUUUAUCUUAUGCCUUGUCAACAUUGUCAAUAAACGAUUAACAAUCAGCCCUCCAACCGGC